AUAAAGUUUUAUUUUAACUUAAAAAUUAAGUAUUAAAUUUUUUUAUAUGUAAAUUUUAGUAUAAUAAAAUUAUAAUUUAAAUAGUUAUAAUUAAUAAAUUUAUUCACAGUAAAAAUAAUUAAAUAUUAAAGAAAUUUAGAUUUAGAAAUUUUAAAUAAUAUUAACAAAUUUUGUGCCAGCAGUUGCGGUUAUACAAAAAAUAUGAUUUAAUUUUUUUAGUUUUAAUUAAUUUAAUAAAUUUUAUAAUUUUAUAAAUAAAUUUAUUAGGUGAAAUUUUAAAUUUAUUUAAAAAUUAUUUUUUUUAAUGAAGUUAGAAAAUUUAUUUAUUAAACUAGGAUUAGAUACCCUAUUAUUAUAAAAGUAUAAAGAUUAACUAGAUUAGUAUUAGAUAAGUUCUUGAAAAUUAAAAAAUUUGGCGGUAUUUUAGUCUAUUCAGAGGAACCUGUUCUGUAAUUGAUAAUCCACGAUUAAAUUAACUUAUUUUAUUAAGUUUGUAUAUCGUUGUAGGUUGAAUAUUUUAUUAGAAUUUAAAUAUUCAUGAUUUAAAAUAUUAAAAUAAAUCAAAUCAAGAUGCAGUUUAUAAAUAAGUAGAAAUGGGUUACAAUAAAUAUAUUUAAUAUGGAUAUUUUAUUUAAAAUUUAAUAGAAAGUGGAUUUGGAAGUAAUUUUAUAUUUUUUUAUAAAAUGAUAAAAGCUCUAAAAUAUGUACAUAUUGCCCGUCGCUUUCACUAUAAAGUGAAAUAAGUCGUAACAAAGUAGAUUUAUUGGAAAAUGAAUCUGGAAAG
rnacentral:ncRNA from 1 species